GACGAACGCUGGCGGCGUGCUUAACACAUGCAAGUCGAACGGAAAGGCCCUGCUCUUGUGGGGUGCUCGAUUGGCGAACGGGUGAGUAACACGCGAGUAACCUGCCCUUGACUUUGGGAUAACUCCAGGAAACUGGGGAGAAUAUCGGAUAGGAGCUCUUGCUGCAUGGUGGGGGUAGGAAAGAUUCGGCGGUUGGGGAUGGACUCGCGGCUUAUCAGCUUGUUGGUGGGGUAGUGGCUGACCAAGGCUUUGACGGGUAGCCGGCCUGGGAGGGUGACCGGGCACAUUGGGACUGCGAUACGGCCCAGACUCCUACGGGAGGCAGCAGUGGGGAAUAUUGCACAAUGGGCGGACGCCUGAUGCAGCAGCGCUGCGUGCGGAAUGACGGCCUUCGGGUUGUAAACCGCUUUCGCCUGUGACGAAGCGUGCGUGACGGUAAUUGGUAAAGAAGCACCGGCUAACUACGUG
rnacentral:rRNA from 1 species